GACGGAGGGUGCGAGCGUUAUUCGGAAUCAUUGGGCGUAAAGAGCGUGUAGGCGGUUGGUUAAGUCAGGUGUGAAAGCCCGGGGCUCAACCCCGGAAGGGCACUUGAAACUGGUCGGCUUGAGUCCGGGAGAGGGAAGCGGAAUUCCUGGUGUAGAGGUGAAAUUCGUAGAUAUCAGGAGGAACACCGGUGGCGAAGGCGGCUUCCUGGACCGAGACUGACGCUGAGACGCGAAAGCGUCGGGAGCAAACAGG
rnacentral:rRNA from 1 species